rnacentral:rRNA from 1 species
UACAGAGGUCUCAAGCGUUUGUUCGGAUUCAUUGGGCGUAAAGGGUGUGUAGGUGGCGCGCUAAGUCGGGUGUGAAAUUUCGGAGCUUAACUCCGAAACUGCAUUUGAUACUGGCGUGCUUGAGGACUGGAGAGGAGAGCUGGAAUUCAUGGUGUAGCAGUGAAAUGCGUAGAGAUCAUGAGGAAGACCAGUGGCGAAGGCGGGUCUCUGGACAGUUCCUGACACUGAGGCACGAGGGCCAGGGGAGCAAACGGG